rnacentral:rRNA from 1 species
UACGUAGGGGGCAAGCGUUAUCCGGAUUUACUGGGUGUAAAGGGAGCGUAGACGGCAGCGCAAGUCUGGAGUGAAAUGCCGGGGCCCAACCCCGGAACUGCUUUGGAAACUGUGCAGCUGGAGUGCAGGAGAGGUAAGCGGAAUUCCUAGUGUAGCGGUGAAAUGCGUAGAUAUUAGGAGGAACACCAGUGGCGAAGGCGGCUCACUGGACUGUAACUGACGUUGAGGCUCGAAAGCGUGGGGAGCAAACAGG